GAUGAACGCUAGCGGCAGGCUUAAUACAUGCAAGUCGUGGGGCAGCAGGGUUGUAGCUAUACAAUCGCUGGCGACCGGCAAACGGGUGCGUAACACGUACGCAACCUUCCCGUUACUGUGGCAUAGCCCAGGGAAACUUGGAUUAAUACUACAUAUUAUAUUGAGGGGGCAUCCUCUUGAUAUCAAAGCUUCGGCGGCAAAGGAUGGGCGUGCGGUUGAUUAGGUAGUUGGCGGGGUAACGGCCCACCAAGCCUACGAUCAAUAGCUGAUGUGAGAGCAUGAUCAGCCACACGGGCACUGAGACACGGGCCCGACUCCUACGGGAGGCAGCAGUAAGGAAUAUUGGGCAAUGGACGAAAGUCUGACCCAGCCAUGCCGCGUGAAGGAUUAAGGUCCUCUGGAUUGUAAACUUCUUUUCUCUGGGGCGAAAACCAGCUAUUCUUAGCUAUUUGACAGUACCAGAGGAAUAAGCACCGGCUAACUCCGUGCCAGCCGCCGCAGUAAAAC
rnacentral:rRNA from 1 species